rnacentral:rRNA from 1 species
UGGCGUGGGGGCACCCUGACCGCAAUGCCGCGUGAGUGAAGAAGGCCUUCGGGUUGUAAAGCUCUUUUGUCAGGGAAGAAACACCGGCUCUAACACAGUCCGGGAAUGACGGUACCUGAAGAAUAAGCACCGGCUAACUACGUGCCAGCAGCCGCGGUAAUACGUAGGGUGCAAGCGUUAAUCGGAAUUACUGGGCGUAAAGCGUGCGCAGGCGGUUAUACAAGACAGGCGUGAAAUCCCCGGGCUUAACCUGGGAGUGGCGCCUGUGACUGUAUAGCUAGAGUGUGUCAGAGGGGGGUAGAAUUCCACGUGUAGCAGUGAAAUGCGUAGAUAUGUGGAGGAAUACCAAUGGCGAAGGCAGCCCCCUGGGAUAACACUGACGCUCAUGCACGAAA